AACGAACGCUGGCGGCGUGGAUAAGACAUGCAAGUCGAACGGGAUUAUUUUUGUAGCAAUACAGAAAUAAUUCAGUGGCGAACGGGUGCGUAACACGUGGGCAAUCUGCCGAAAAGUGGGGGAUAGCUCGCCGAAAGGCGAAUUAAUACCGCAUGUGGUGAGGGACGACAUCUUCCUGAAUCCAAAGCCGGGGCAACCUGGCGCUUUUUGAGGAGCCCGCGGCCUAUCAGCUUGUUGGUGGGGUAACGGCCUACCAAGGCGACGACGGGUAGCCGGCCUGAGAGGGCGACCGGCCACACUGGGACUGAGACACGGCCCAGACUCCUACGGGAGGCAGCAGUGGGGAAUAUUGCGCAAUGGGCGAAAGCCUGACGCAGCGACGCCGCGUGAGGGAUG
rnacentral:rRNA from 1 species